rnacentral:rRNA from 1 species
CCUACGGGGGGCAGCAGUGGGGAAUAUUGCACAAUGGGGGAAACCCUGAUGCAGCGACGCCGCGUGAGUGAAGAGGUUUUUCGGUAUGUAAAGCUCUAUAAGCAGGGAAGAAAAAAGACGGUACCUGACUAAAAACCCCCGGCUAACUACGUGCCAGCAGCCGCGGUAAUACGUAGGGGGCAAGCGUUAUCCGGAUUUACUGGGUGUAAAGGGAGCGUAGACGGUAUGGCAAGUCUGAAGUGAAAGCCAAGGGCUUAACCCUGGGACUGCUUUGGAAACUGUUAGACUAGAGUGCUGGAGAGGUAAGUGGAAUGCCUAGUGUAGCGGUGAAAUGCGUAGAUAUUAGGAGGAACACCAGUGCGAAGGCGGCUUACUGGACAGUUACUGACGCUGAAGCUCGAAAGCGCGGGUAUCGAACAGGAUUAGAUACCCUUGUAGUC